rnacentral:rRNA from 1 species
AGUGAACGCUGGCGGCGUGCUUAACACAUGCAAGUCGAACGAGAACGGAUUAUAGCUUGCUAUAAUUGUCAGCUAAGUGGCGCACGGGUGAGUAAUGUAUAGGUAAUAUGCCUCUUACUAAGGGAUAACAAAUGGAAACGUUUGCUAAUACCUUAUACUCCUUAUUAACAUAAGUUAAUAAGGGAAAGAUUUAUUGGUAAGAGAUUAGCCUGUAUUGUAUCAGUUAGUUGGUGGGGUAAUGGCUUACCAAGACUAUGACACAUAACUGGUUUGAGAGGAUGAUCAGUCACACUAGAACUGAGACACGGUCCAGAAUCCUACGGGAGGCAGCAGUGGGGAAUAUUGCACAAUGGACGAAAGUCUGAUGCAGCAACGCCGCGUGGAGGAUGACACAUUUCGGUGCGUAAACACCUUUUAUAUGAGAAGAUAAUGACGGUAUUAUAUGAAUAAGCACCGGCUAACUCCGUGCCAGCCGCCGCUGUAA